AUGCACAAUCUUACCACUCGAUACAUGCUGAAUAUAGCCAAAAUGCCCAGAUCCUUCAGCUGGUACGAACCUAACUUGGAGCCGGCCGGCAUUGCUCCUGUCAUCAUAAAGGACUAACGAGGUGUUAUUCCCUGGAUCAGAGGAACCUCCUUUAGGAUGAACGAGUUUACCCGACGAUCGGUGGAAUAGAUAUCCAAUAGGUCCGGCCAUCUAACAAAUUUGCAGUUGGUUGUUUUUCGUGUCGAUUGCUUGAAUGACUAGCCGGUAUGAUGUGGUACUGCGUGACAACUGCAUUUAUACACCAGCAUCGAUUUGAUUUGACGUCAAUGGCACCUGAUAUACAAUCAAAACUGAAAACGCGUGGGCAAAAGGCUAUGACGCGAACGCGGCAUCCGUAACUGAUACGUGCUAGCCCGUAUCACGGAUACUUGCAGCUGUUGUAUUUAUUCCAAAUGAUGCAACAAAGUUCACUUUUCAAAAUACCGAAAUAUAACUUU